UACAGAGGUCCCAAGCGUUGUUCGGAUUCACUGGGCGUAAAGGGUGCGUAGGUGGCGGGGUAAGUCGGAUGUGAAAUCUCCGAGCUCAACUCGGAAAUGGCAUUGGAAACUACCUUGCUCGAGGGUUGGAGGGGGGACUGGAAUACUUGGUGUAGCGGUGAAAUGCGUAGAUAUCGUAAGGAAGACCAGUGGCGAAGGCGGGUCUCUGGACAGUUCCUGACGCUGAGGCACGAAGGUCAGGGGAGCAAACGGG
rnacentral:rRNA from 1 species